CCAGCAACAAGUUGACACUUCUCAAACCCAGAGGGAGGGUUACUUCCAGCAACAAGUUAGCACUUCUCAGACCCUGAGGGAGAGUAGUUUGGCACUUCCUGAUUUUGGCUUGGCCAGCUUUUUCCAAACUGAUAUAUCAGUGCACUUUGAUGCUCCGGAGAAGCAACUUGCAUCCCAGCCACGAGUGCCCUUGAAUAAUCCUUCCUUCCUGCCGUCUGGAAGUCUGAGCUUACCAAGUUGCAGUAGCAUCGGUUCUCAACAACCACCACGCUUGAAGGAGAAUAAGGGACUGCAUGGUAAGGUAAACUCCUAGAGUCAAAGUAACUGUUAGCAGUUGGAAGUAUUAUAAUUAACGGUGAUAAUGUGCAGCUUUUUCCAACAAUAAACUACCUCUGGUGUUGUUGUACUUUAGCUUUUGUAAUCCAGUACUGUCUUACAACAGUUCAAAUUGUAUUC
rnacentral:misc_RNA from 1 species